rnacentral:rRNA from 1 species
AUACGGGGGGGGCAAGCGUUGUUCGGAAUUACUGGGCGUAAAGGGCGCGUAGGCGGUCCCGCAAGUCCUUCGUGGAAUCCCACAGCUCAACUGUGGAACUGCGAGGGAAACUGCAGGACUUGAGUCCGGGAGAGGAGAGUGGAAUUCCCGGUGUAGCGGUGAAAUGCGUAGAUAUUGGGAGGAACACCGGUGGCGAAGGCGGCUCUCUGGACCGGUACUGACGCUGAGGCGCGAAAGCUAGGGGAGCAAACGGGAUUAGAAACCCCGGUAGUCC